CAUCGAAUUGAAAAAAAUUCUCAAAACCCAACUCUAAACUCCAAACCGAUCAGUUGUGGAAGGUUAGUCAUUAACAAAAGAAAAAUAAAAAUAAAAAUUGAGGAACACUGGUAAAUGGUUGGGGUUAGAACGCAAACAGAGGAAUCCCCUUUCAUAUCUUCGGCUCGGCCUCCUCUCCCGAGUCUCCAUCCUCUUAUGUCGCCAUAUUCGUUAUCUCCGCCCGUCGCCGUCGUCUCGGCAACCGACUUAUCUACUAUGGUUGGGGUUAGAAGUUUAGAACGCACACAGACGCACAGAUGAAUUAUUCUGUUUAAAUCCCUUUCCAUCUCUCCGAUUUGAUCUCCUCUCUCGAGUCUCGAUCCUCUCUGUUAUCGACAACCGAUUCAUCAGCAGGUAUUUAUUGGCAUUUAUCUGUUCUCCUGUAAGUUGCAAUGCUGGUGCUGCUACAGUUGCUAUCCGGCGUAAUUUGCAAACCAGAAAAUUAGUAAAUGCUGAUUGAAUUUGGAAUCACUUUGAAGUAAUUUGAGUGAAUAAUAUAAUCAGAAAUGGCUGAGGAUGAAGCCCCUCCAAUUAGGUUGAUGAAUUUCGUGUCCCAAGCAGAGUUAGAUGUAGCAAAGAGUAGUCCGGGUGAAAGGCUGGAAGAUGGGACUGCUCAAAGAGACCAUCCUCUUUUCGAGCUGCUUGUUGAUUUUUACUUGGGUAAUGAUAAAGUCUAUGGCGCUGAUUCUGCAGAAGCCUAAAACAUAGUCAGAUGACCUGGCUAUGCACAGCUGGUGGAUAUAUAAAGAGCGGAGCAGUUGUUGUUUUCAGAUUUUUCAAGGGUUUCUUUCUGGAUAUGUAGCUUAGUUUAUCAGUAUGUAAUUGUAUGACCUUUCUUUUUUGUUGUGUCUUAUCUUAUGUUUGCCUUUACCACUUGGUACCAAAGAUUGGUGACUAUGAAUAUACUGUUUUUGCACCUCCUUUUUUGUUGGGGGGUUAUGGUGUGUUGUCGUCCCACACAUCCUUUACAGUUUCGUCGUUGUAGGUAUCAAAAUUGUCAUGUUGUUUGCUCAAUUUCUUGUCUGGUAUGAUACUAUGAUGUGACUGGUUCAAUAAUGGAAGUUUAACAUUAUUGGUUGAA